AAAAACUUUAUCAGGUAUAUAAAAGUGAACACAAAUCUUAAUAAAAGGGUGAGAAAUAUUAAUUAUGAGUUAUGAAACAUAAUGAUUAUCCUUUUAGUGUACUAUUAAAUGUUAUUUAUUGAUAUGUGUUUUUUCGCGCUGAGCCUCUGCAAAUGUCUCUGUUGCCUCAUACCGAUUGUGGCCACUAUUUGGAUUGCUGUAUAUAUAUACAAUUGUUACCAUGGACCGAUUAAGCCUGUAACUUAAGACACUUGAAGAUAUCAUUUUAAAUCACAUGAGAUUUAUACUGUUCAGUAGACAAGACAUAAAUCUAUUUUUAUUUAAAUAAGACUCUGUCUGUUGGUCAAGAAAACAUCUACACGUGCAAGCUGCAGAAACAGAAGAUCGUUAAUCGCGCGGAACUUAUGAUAGUUGUAAACUUUCCAGUGAGACUGUACUGUAUCGUGCAUUUGGUAGAACUGCAAGUUUUAUUUUAUUGCCACUUGAGAAUUUUGUACUUCAUGAUGCUACUUAAUGUGUUGCAAGAAAAUUUCACAGAAAGUCAUUCAGAAGGUUCCUAUUUGUGAAGGAAGUUAUCAA